rnacentral:rRNA from 1 species
AGAAUCAACGCUGGCGGCGUGCCUAACACAUGCAAGUCGAACGAGAAAGUGGAGCAAUCCAUGAGUAAAGUGGCGACCGGGUGAGUAACACGUGACUAACCUACCUUCGAGUGGGGAUAACCUCGGGAAACCGAGGCUAAUACCGCAUAACAUCGCAAGAUCAAAGCAGCAAUGCGCUGGAAGAGGGGGUCGCGGCUGAUUAGCUAGUUGGCGGGUAAUGGCCCACCAAGGCGAAGAUCGGUAGCC